rnacentral:tRNA from 1 species
AUGUCGGUAAAUGGGUAGAAUGCCGGACUUUUAAUCCGUUGGUCGGCAGUUCGAAUCUGCCACGACCUA